UCCAAUUUCGUUCGUUUGAAGUUUGAACGCAGAAACAGAAGCAAAUAUUUCUCUCUGCUUCGCCGGAACAUUUCGCCGUUCGCACAUAGCUUGAAUAAAUUGUUCUUUUUUCUCCCAAUCUGUAAAUAAAAUCCUAAUACUAAUUUUCAGGUCGAAUCAUACACGUGAAAAAACACCAGCUCACUGCGCUCGCAUUUUGCUCCAACUGAAACACAGAACAAGCCAAAUCCUUGAUUCGAUUGCCCCCACAAUUCAACGUUUUCAAGCUCUGCCUGCCGAAGUAGCUGCCAAAAUGAGCAAAAGUGAUGUAGAGAUGGAAGAUGCCAAAAAAUUCUAUGAUGAUUCAGGAAAUAACAUCAAAGAGUCUGAAUGCAAAGCAGUUGAAGUUGAGGAGGAAAUUCCCUGUGAAGCUGCUGGAUCAGGGGAUGGAAAUGGAAGGAAGAAUGUCGAAGAAGACCUAAAUAAAGUUUUAGAUGAAAAAGUUGAAGACAAGAUGGAUGUGGAAGACCAAACUUACCCUGUAAAAGAGGCCAUUGGGCCAAUAGAAGGAUCAAUCUGUGGAAUAAGCAUUACCAAAACUGAUGAUAAAGAGCCAAUAAACACUGAUACUGCAGCUGAGGCACAAACUGCUGCUCGUGAUUAUAAAGAGCUAAUAAACACUGAAACCCCAGCUGAAGCAGAAGCUGCUGCUAGGAGUGCAGUGAAGAAACGACGUGACAUAAAAUUUGAAAUGGUUGAAUGUGAUGCUACUAUUUCUGGGGUGAAAGAAGAUGCGCCUGACAAGAAUGAUGUGGUGGAUGGAAACCAAGGGGACGGUGUUGAGAAACGACCCAAUGGAGAUGUUGAUGUGAAAUAUGAAGUGGUUAAAUGUGAUGCUACCACUAAUUCCGAGUUGAAAGAAGAUCAGCUUGCUAAGAACGAUAUGCUGUAUGGAAACCAAGGGGAUGAUUUUAAGAAAAUUCCAAAUGAAGAUGUUGUGGCGAAGUCUGGAGAAAUUGGCAAGGAUACAGAUGAUAUCGAAUGUAUUUUCUGUGAGACGGUGGUGGAAAAUGUUGGUGCUGGAAAUGCCCCUACACAAAAUAGGCCACUUCAAACUGAUUUUUUUUCCAAUGAAGAUCCUCAAGGACACGAUGUUCAACCGGGUGUGGAUGAAGAGAUGGAAGAUGUUGUUCACUGUGAUCAGGAUAAGAUGGUUAAAUAUAAAGAACAAGGUGCAUAAUCUUUCCUUGUGAGCCAUGAAUCUCAUGGGAAUGAAAAAACUUCUGAAACUGCUGCCAAACUGGAUGCUGAAGAAUCUUCACUUGCGAGCCAGCCUGAACCUUUUACACCCAAUUCUCUCAUCUGAUGUUCUUCUCAAAAGACUGCAGACCAUAGCCGAGAAACGGCCCAGCCUGUUUCUAGUCAAACAGCACUACCUUUCAUGGGGAAAGAUGAUGAUGGAACACCUGAGGAUCAAGCAGGAUUCAUGAAGGAGCUCGAGCAUUUCUACAGGGAGAAGACAAUGGAAUUUAAACCACCCAAAUUUUAUGGGCAGCCACUAAAUUGUCUUAAAUAAGCAUGCUGAGCUGUUGUUUUUACUAUGCCACUGUCCUCUCGCGUAUAUAUUUAUUUCCUUGGUUUGGUGGCUGCUAGGUUAUGGAGGGCUGUAAUUAGGUUGGGAGGCUAUGACAGGGUAACUGGAUCCAAGUUAUGGAGGCAGAUCGGAGAGUCAUUCCAUCCUCCAAAGACUUGUACUACAGUCUCUUGGACCUUUCGAAUCUUCUAUGAGAAGUCUCUCCUGGAAUAUGAAAGGCAUAAGACACUAAGUGGUGAGCUUCAACUCCCUGUAGUGAUGCUCCCUGAAGUUUCUGCUGCUGACGGGAAAUGGUUAUCAAGGAUCAGGACCAGGACCAGGAAGGGCUAGAAGAGAUUCUGCUGCCCAUGCUAUGCAAGGUAGGCAUGCCCAACGCCUUGGGGCUGGUGAGGUUGGGGAUCAAGUUAUGAAGGUUUAUUAAAACAGAAGAGACCAAAUGAAGGGGAGGAUUCAAGUUCAAGCAAAGCCACUCGAACUGAUAUAUCUAAGCAACUGGUGACAUCUGUUGUUGAUGCUGGGCCACCAGCGGACUGGGUGGAAAUUAACGUACGCCAAACU